CCUACGGGUGGCAGCAGUGGGGAAUAUUGCACAAUGGAGGAAACUCUGAUGCAGCGACGCCGCGUGAGUGAAGAAGUAAUUCGUUAUGUAAAGCUCUAUCAGCAGGGAAGAAAAUGACGGUACCUGAGUAAUAAGCCCCGGCGAACUACGUGCCAGCAGUCGCGGUAAUACGUAGGGGGCAAGCGUUAUCCGGAUUUACUGGGUGUAAAGGGAGCGUAGACGGCAGUGCAAGUCUGGCGUGAAAGGCGGGGGCUCAACCCCCGGACUGCUCUGGAAACUGUACGGCUGGAGUGCAGGAGAGGUAAGUGGAAUUCGGAGUGUAGCGGUGAAAUGCGUAGAUAUUAGGAGGAACCCCAGUGGCGAAGGCGGCUUACUGGACUGUAACGGACGUUGAGGCUCGAAGGCGUGGGGAGCAAACAGGAUUAGAUACCCUUGUAGUC
rnacentral:rRNA from 1 species